UCGCAGGUGGAAAGAGAGGGUUGUUCUGAGGCAUCAAUUCAUCGCGCCACAAAAAAAGGCACGGCGGAGAGGAUGAUAUCCAUCUCCGCGAUCGAGAUCCACCACUCGAUUGGCUCCUCGUCCCGCGAGAGCGAUGCUCCAAUCCUCUUGAAUCUUAAUUGCUGGCAUCUGCCGAUCAGGCAAGUGAGGAAGAGGCGGAGAAGAUGGCGAUGGUUGUGUUCCGGGCUGCUGCUUCGGCGACGACGAUCGCGACCGCCGGUCCUCGAGCUCCCAUCCCCAAACCACAGGAGCAGCCGAUGAAGAUUGAUCAUCGACGGCACUCUCAUCCUCGGCAGCGGACUCCUGCCGCGCUCUCCUUUGUCGCCGUCCUCUCCGCCACCGCUACCGGCGAAGCCAAGGCUUUCUCCGAAGACAUAAUCUCUUCUCUCGCCAAGGCGGAGGAUGCGGUUGAUGCUGCUUCCACAGUUUGGGGCUUCUCGCUUGACGUGUUCAAGACGUUGAUAGAUACUCUAAAGCCGGGGGUGGAUGCUGCCCUGCCAAUCUUGCAAAGCGCGAGCAAUGAGGCACUGAGGGCAGCCUCUCCGGUUGUUUCUGACGCUUCCGAGCAAGCCAAAGAGGCUCUUCUGAGCGCCGGAGUUGAUCCCAGCCCUGUUUUCUCUGCCGCUCAGGUUGUUUCCUUGCUAAUUCUCAACCUAUGAGUCUUUGCCCAUGUGUUCCCUUUAUUUAACUCAAUUUGUUAGACAAGUUUUUGCUUGGUCGUCGAUCAUCAACUAUAUCCAAGUAUGUGAAUAUGAAAAGGAUUGGAGCAAAAUUCAAGAAACAACCCUGCAAAAUCGCACUUUGAAGACCAAGUUAGGUUCUAGCUGAAGACUUAGAAUUUCAGGUCAAAGCUUGCACACUUUUUGUGAGAAGGUAUUGCCCAAAAAUUUAUAAGGUUGUGGAGACUAUGGUUCAAGUUUCUGGUCUGCUAGUGUAGUUAAUUUGCAAUAUGAUUGAAGUUUGCUUUGAUGCCUAGUCGAUCAUCACUUUAGUUGGGGAUACUAUGUUAUGAAGAGAGAUCUGAAUCUGAUAGAUGAUGGUUGACCUUGGCAUAAUCAAACUUGUCGCCCUGUGGUAGUUCCAUGUUGAUGUGAACUCAAAAUGGCUUUGGACCAGCAUGUACAAAAUGGCAUUAUGAUGUAGAGUAGGGACCUUCUUGAUUGGGCAUCAAAAAGGUCUGAUCGUCUUGACCAAGAUCUUUUGUUCGAUGAGUAAGGCCCUUUUCAGUUGGAGGUCAAGUUUGAGACAAUUGCAGGUGCAGCACAACAAACAAUAAAAAUCAUCGAAGUAGCAAAACCCAUAGCCUCAGCAACUGCAAAGACAAUCACAUCCUCCGAUCCCUCGACCCUGGUUGUUACUACCGGAGCAUUGUUUGUCGGAUACCUUCUUUUACCACCUAUUUGGUCGGCACUCCGUGGCUACCAAGGCAGUCUCAGUGCUCCUCAGACACUAGACCUGAUCUCUGCACAAGAUUAUGUACUGAUCGACAUAAGAUCAGAGAAAGACAAGAACAGAGCAGGUGUUCCUAGCCUACCCUCGAGUGCCAAGAACAAGAUCAUCUCGGUGCCCUUGGAGGAGCUCCCGAGCAAGAUCAAAGGGCAGGUGAGGAGCCCCAAGAAAGUCCAAGCUGAUUUAGUGGCGAUGAAGAUUUCCUACCUCAAGAGACUCAACAAAGGAUCCAACAUAGUCAUCCUUGACUCUUACUGUGAUAUGGCCAAAACUGUGGCGAGGACGCUCACCGAGCUCGGCUUCAAGAACAGCUGGGUGGUGGAGGAUGGGUUCUCCGGAGGCAGAGGUUGGGUGCAGAGUAGAUUGGGGUCGGAUUCGUACAAUGUGUCGCUCGUCGAGGUUCUUUCUCCGUCGAGGGUGAUCCCUGCCACAGCAAUUCGAUUCGGCACCGCUACUAGUGCUGGACCAGCACCAGCAGCUCCUCAGUCGACUAGGAAACUUCUUCCAGGAAGAAGUGUCGAUAACUGAACGUUCUUGCAGUCUGUCAAUUCUUUUGUAAAAGGAAGCUUUCACAAUUUGUUCAUCCUCACUUGUGUGCUAAUGGGUACGAGUGCAACCGAGCCCGUUCACCCCCGUUGCAAGUAAGAUCAAAACGGGUGCGACCCAAAUUUCAGUCUCUAACCGUUGUAUUCACUGAAAGAUCACCAUACUCAAUGUGGUGCAACGGUUAAGGUGUAACGGUGCUAAAGGAAAUGUUGUGGUUUGAUUCUCAUGAAUAUGUACUGUACUAAAUUUAGUGGAAAAAUUUGGAUAGACGACGAUGGACCGAA